CCAUCCCUACCCCAUUGCAGGUGCAGGUGGAGACGGAACCCUAGACACUGCUCAUCCCAAUCAGGCCCUUUCCAGGCCUGUCCCAUUCCAAUCGGGCAUCAGAUGUGGCAUUGAUCAUCAUCUACUUAACAAACGAGGCUCCCCUUUCAAUGCACUUGGGUCUCCUCUGGGCCAACCUUGGUUCUGAGAUAGCAGGUGCUGAAAUACUGCUGAAUCCUCAAAGCCAGACUAGCCAGUGCCUGGCACCUGAUGGGAAUAUGAUUUCAACGAACAGCUCACAGAAUCCUCCCCACAAAGCCGAGAAGCAGGAAGCAGCAACCCUCCCAGAUGAAGAAGCGAAGGCUCGGAAAAGCUAAGUAACUUCUCCAAGCUGACGCAGCUCGUGAGAGGAGGGACUGGGAUUCAAAUCCCUGCAGGGGGAGACCAGCAGCCCCGACUUCAGCCGCCAUGCCUCCUGCCUGAGAAGCUAGCUGCGAAGGUUCCAGAAGGAGACUGCCCUCCGGGAACAGAAACAGCGCAUGACUGCGACCUGUCUGCAAAAAUCUUGAUCACUUGUAAAUCCUUCUCCACCUGAUAAGUUAUCACAUUGGCUCAUGAUGUUUUUUUUCAUUCUCACCCUAUGGCGUGGAUGCUGUUACUACCCCAUUUUACAAAGGAGUAAAGUGAGGCCCAGAGAGAACAGUUAAAUCACUUCCCCAGCUUCACUCAACUCAUCUACGGAAGAAAUGUACCACCACUCUGAAGAAUGAAAGAAAGCAAGCUAAAAAGGAGAGAGAGCAUGAAGAAGGAAGACAAAACUGAAGUUAGGUCAUGGAAACCAGAAGAGAUCCUGGGGCCACA
rnacentral:lncRNA from 1 species